UACGUAGGUGACUAGCGUUGUCCGGAUUUACUGGGCGUAAAGAGCGCGCAGGCGGUCGUUCAAGUCGAGUGUGAAAGCCCCCGGCUCAACUGGGGAGGGUCAUUCGAUACUGAUCGACUCGAAGGCAGGAGAGGGAAGCGGAAUUCCCCGGUGUAGUGGUGAAAUGCGUAGAUAUCGGGAGGAACACCAGUGGCGAAGGCGGCUUCCUGGCCUGUUCUUGACGCUGAGGCGCGAAAGCU
rnacentral:rRNA from 1 species